rnacentral:lncRNA from 1 species
AUCUUCGUCUCGCUGUUGAUUCUUCUCUAAAAUGAUCGCAGACGCACAUCAGACAUUCAGGAUCCGGUACCUGGAGGCUGACGCUCUGAAACUCGACGAUGUCAUUUGGAUGUAAAUAGGUUACACCCGUGGACAGAGACGACCCAGAAAGAUAGCUUUAACUGACCUUCCUGAAGCUUUAGUUAUUAUUUUGUUAAGCCAAUCACCAUGGAUCUGUCAUUUAUGGCUGCGCAGAUCCCGGUGAUGACAGGAGCCUUCAUGGACUCGUCGCCUCACGAUGACUACAGCACGGAUCACUCUCUCUUCAACUCCUCCGCAAGUGUCCACGCCGCCGCUCUGGCUGCUCACAGCCAGCAGGAGGAGCAGCAGCCCUUGUCCCGGGACGCCAUUUGGCUGUGGAUCGCUAUUACUGCCACCAUCGGCAACAUCGUAGUGGUCGGAGUUGUCUACGCCUUUACGUUCUGAUCUGUGCAAAUGAAAUGAACUUUGGAGGCUUCAUAUUUGAGUCUCCCAAAAUAAGGAACUCGAGGGCCUCAUUAAACGAACACUGCGCAUUUUUUUACGAAAAAAAAAAAAAAAAUGUGCGCAGUCUUAGUUGUUAAUUUGUUCAUUUUAUUAACACAGAAGGGUAUUUAGAAACUAUAUUUUGAUUAAUUGAUGUUUUCAUGAUGGUAACUUUUUAACUAGAUUGUUUAUUGCUAAACGAAAAAAAAACAACAACACAUCUCUUGUUUUCAGACUAUAGUGACUUAUACUGCCAAACAAUUUGUACGUGUUUUGCUUUUAGUAUGUGAUAUCGAUGAUGUUGUAAAGCUUUAAAUCUCUAGAGGGCAAAUGCUGGUCUCUGAAAGUCAUCCAACUACCUUUAUAGAGCGGCGAUUAGGAAGUUGAAAUGAAUCCUGAAUCUAAUUUGGUUAAGUAACCAUAAAAUAAAGUUCAUCAGUAUGUAAGUGCAGAGAACAAGACACUUUAUCAGAAACAUAUAGCUAGCUAAGCACUUAUAAUUGUAUUAAAUCAUGGGGCAUUUCUUUAUUAAAUCAUGGUUGAUUUGUUUAUUUAUUUACAUAUUGCCCCAAUACACAUCAAUUUGAAGACAAUCUCUUAUAAUUCUCCACAGUGGAGCUUAAUAACCCUGGGUCACUCUAACCCCUGUAACCUCUAAACUGAAUCUUUAGGUUUUAUAAUGAUUAUAGUUUACUUGGGGUCAACAAUGAAUCCUGGGUAUACUUACAAUGACGUUUCACAUUGUACAUACAGCAUACAACCCUGGGUUAACAUCUUUAUUUGCAUAUUUGCUGUGUCAGUGUCACUCAUUGGACAGACACGUCAUGCAACCAGAAACAUAGUAUAUUAUAUAUUGCCAACUGCAGUUAGCAUUAUAAUAGACUAUAAUGGUAAAAAUGAGACAGCCUCUUCCUUAUUUCAUUUAGUGUAUGAAAGCCAGUACAAACACUAAAUGACUGUGUACUGAUCCAGCAGGCACAGGACGUCAACAUGACAUUGUACCCCAACGCCAUGUGACGUUGCAUUUUG